CGGGCACCGCCUUCGCAGCCGGGAGAGAAGCGUUGACUGUGUGGGGAAGGCUGGCUCGGGUCGCGGCCGCGGCGAGUUACAUCCUUUUCCAAUCUGUCCGCGUCCGCCGCCGCCCGUGACGGAGCCAGGAUGUUCGGGAUGCUGAGCAGCAGCUUUGAGGAUGAUCCCUUCUUCUCCGAUUCUUUUAUUGCACACCGAGAAAGUAUGCGACAGAUGAUGAGAAGUUUUUCUGAACCUUUUGGAAGAGAUUUGCUCAGCAUCUCUGAUGGCAGAGGAAGAGCUCAUAAUCACAUGAGACAUGAUGAUGGUGAAAAUUCUUUGACUGUAAUGAAUUCUCUUAUGCCUUUUGGCAGUUUUGGUGGUAUGCAUACAGAUGUCAACCCUUUUCAGGCAAUGGACCGAAUGAUGUUAAAUAUGCGAAACAGUAUGCAGGAAUUACAAAGAAACUUUGGUCACCUUUCAGUGGAUCCAAAUGGACAUUCAUUUAGUUCUUCCUCAAUUAUGACUUAUUCCAAAGUAGGAGAUGAACCACCAAAGGUUUUCCAGGCCUCAACUCAAACCCGUAGGGCUCCAGGAGGAAUAAAGGAAACUAGGAGAGCAUUGAGAGAUUCUGACAGUGGACUAGAAAAAAUGGCUGUUGGUCAUCAUCUUCACGACAGAGCUCAUGUCAUUAAAAAGUCAAAGAACAACAAAACUGGAGACGAAGAGGUCAACCAAGAGUUCAUCAAUAUGAAUGAAAGUGAUGCUCAUGCUUUUGAUGAUGAAUGGCAGAAUGAGAUUUUGAAGUACAGACCAGCGGGACAGUGGCGCCAUGUGGAAAACCCUAGGAUGCGAAGUGUCGGUCAUGAGAAUUCAGGCUCCCGAGAACUUAAAAGAAGGCCAUAAGAGAGUGGAGGAUUGCUGCAGAAGGUGGAGGGCUUCACAGAACCAGCGAUGGACAAGGAGAAACCUCAUCAAAGUCCAGCCAUUGAACAUGGAAGAAGAUCAAAUGUUUUUGUGGACAAACUCAACAUCAAAGGAUCACCUGUGAAAAUCAACAAAAAAUAAAUAGGCUUGCAGUUGA